AAUUGGAGGGCAAGUCUGGUGCCAGCAGCCGCGGUAAUUCCAGCUCCAAUAGCGUAUAUUAAAGUUGUUGUGGUUAAAAAGCUCGUAGUUGAAUUUCGGGAUCAAUAUUUCGGUCAUGCCGUUGGUAUGCACUGUUAUCAUUGAUUUCUCACCUUCUAAAGAACCGUAAUGCCAUUAAUUUGGUGUUACGGGGAAUUAGGACUGUUACCUUGAAAAAAUUAGAGUGUUUAAAGCAGGCUCACGCUUGAAUACAUUAGCAUGGAAUAAUGAAAUAGGACAUCCGAUUCUAUUUUGUUGGUUUCUAGGAUCGAUGUAAUGAUUAAUAGGGAUAGUUGGGGGCAUUAGUAUUCAAUUGUCAGAGGUGAAAUUCUUGGAUUUAUUGAAGACUAACUACUGCGAAAGCAUUUGCCAAGGAUGUUUUCAUUAAUCAAGAACGAAAGUUAGGGGAUCGAAGACGAUCAGAUACCGUCGUAGUCUUAACCAUAAACUAUGCCGACUAGGGAUCGGAUGAUGUUAAUUUUUUAAUGACUCAUUCGGCGCCUUACGGGAAACCAAAGUGU
rnacentral:rRNA from 1 species